UUGCUUUAGCAGCACAUAUGCUAAAAUUGGAACGAUACAGAGAAGAUUAGCAUGGCCCCCGUGCAAGGAUGACAUACAAAUUCAUGAAGCAUUCCAUAAAAAA
rnacentral:snRNA from 1 species